CAGCAGUGGGGAAUAUUGGACAAUGGACCAAAAGUCUGAUCCAGCAAUUCUGUGUGCACGAUGACGUUUUUCGGAAUGUAAAGUGCUUUCAGUUGGGAAGAAAAAAAUGACGGUACCAACAGAAGAAGUGACGGCUAAAUACGUGCCAGCAGCCGCGGUAAUACGUAUGUCACAAGCGUUAUCCGGAUUUAUUGGGCGUAAAGCGCGUCUAGGUGGUUAUGUAAGUCUGAUGUGAAAAUGCAGGGCUCAACUCUGUAUUGCGUUGGAAACUGCAUGACUAGAGUACUGGAGAGGUAAGCGGAACUACAAGUGUAGAGGUGAAAUUCGUAGAUAUUUGUAGGAAUGCCGAUGGGGAAGCCAGCUUACUGGACAGAUACUGACGCUAAAGCGCGAAAGCGUGGGUAGCAAACAGGAUUAGA
rnacentral:rRNA from 1 species